AAGUGUCUCAGUCAUGGAGUGAGCCUCGUAAUGAACCAUCAGAGAAUAGGUCUGCAACUCAAGAUGUUCCUACAAAUACCUCUACUACAUCUACUGGUGCAAGUGAAGUGUCUAAUUCACAGGGUGAGCCUCUUAAGGAACCAUUGGAGAACAGAUUUGCAACCCAAGGUAUUCCUACAAAUACAUCUACUGCAUCUACUGUAGUACCGUCUGUUAAACUCUGGACAAAUGCCGGGCUCUUUGGACUUGAACCAUCUAAACCUCCAGUAUUUGGUGCCCAAGAUACUCCAAGGGAGGAUACUCCACCUGGUUUUGAAGUACCUCAACCAAGCC
rnacentral:lncRNA from 1 species